rnacentral:tRNA from 1 species
GCGGCUGUAGCUCAAUGGCAGAGCGUCGCACUGUGGAUGCGAAUGUUGCGGGUUCGACCCCCGUCAGCCGCCCA